rnacentral:rRNA from 1 species
UACGGAAGGUCCGGGCGUUAUCCGGAUUCAUUGGGUUUAAAGGGAGCGCAGGCGGGCUGUUAAGCCAGCCGUCAAAUGUCGCCGCUCAACGGCGUCAAGCGGUUGGAACUGGUGGUCUUGGGUGCACGAGAGGGAAGCGGAACUCGUGGUGUAGCGGUGAAAUGCAUAGAUAUCACGAAGAACUCCGAUUGCGAAGGCAGCUUCCUGGCGUGUUACCGACGCUCAUGCUCGAAGGCGCGGGUAUCAAACA